CUUCAAAGGAGGCGUGAAUAUCCCGUGCCAUCCACGUCUUGUUUCAGUUUUUGCCAAGUUCGUCGGACUGGACAUGAUGCUGCGUCGUUUAGUCGCUGGAGUCCGCACGGCCACCGCCGAUUUGAGGUUGAAUUUCAACGAAAACCCUUUGUGUGAAGAGCGACGUGUUUUGUUGAGAGAAGUGAC